GUGUCAGCAGCCGCGGUAAUACAGAGGGUGCAAGCGUUGUUCGGAAUUAUUGGGCGUAAAGCGCGUGUAGGCGGCUUGUCAAGUCGGGCGUGAAAUCCCUCAGCUCAACUGAGGAAGUGCACCUGAAACUGACGAGCUUGAGUGCUAGAGAGGGUGGCGGAAUUCCGCAAGUAGAGGUGAAAUUCGUAGAUAUGCGGAGGAACACCGGUGGCGAAGGCGGCCACCUGGCUGGUCACUGACGCUGAGACGCGAAAGCGUGGGGAGCAAACAGGAUUAGAUACCCUAGUAGUCC
rnacentral:rRNA from 1 species